CCCGCCCCUGCCGCGCGCCGCGGCCCGGACGGAGCCUCCCGAGCGGAGACCUGGACCUGGACCGGCCCCGGCCCCGUCCCCGUCCGUGCGAAGCCUCCAGCCCCGCCCGGGCGGCAGGAGCCGUCCCGGCCCCUUCCCGAGCGCCUGCUGCGCCGCCCCGCCGGAGCGCCCCGCGGGAGAAGCGUCUGGUUCCGUUACCGUUAAAGCACCGCCUCGGAGCUGCAGUUCACAGCGUUACAAGAGAGCGUGGCCUGUAGCGGCUGUUCCAUAGAAUGGUUUAGGGUGGAAGGGGCCUCCAGGGCCAUCCAGUUCCCACCUCCUGCCAUGGGCAGGGACACCUCCCGCUGGAACGGGUACGGUGUGUGCCGAGCUACAACCACCGCAGCGGCACUUGGGCUCUGCAGACCCUUGGCACGGUGUAAAGAAGGAACACGGAGGUGCAGGAAGCUCAGCAGGAGGUGAAUGGAAUCUCAAAUACAGCUGUUAAGGGAAGAAAGUGCAGAUGCUGUGCUGGGACAUUACCCAAGCAGUGACUAUUUAUUUAUAGCAUUAAAAUGAAAACAGCCAAUUUCUGGUUCUUAACUCUCCUCUUGCAGCUGAAGCUCGCAUUAUAUUUCAAACUGGGGUUAAAAUGACACAUUUACAUACCUGCUGGAAUCGGGAAAACAUUCCUUCAAAAGCAGCUGCUGAGCUGAUCAGCUUCACCUCCAAGUCGGUGUGCAAGGCAUGGCAGAAACUGCUCAGCUCCCUUUUCAGCAAUCCCAUGAACUCCAUAACCCCCCAACACACUUCAAAGAACAGCAACAGGAGAACUUAACACCAAAACUCAGUGGGGCCCAAAUGAUUUUGCUGUCCUUGACCCUCCCAGGAAAGCAACCUAAAAGGGGAAGUGACAACCUGUGAAUUACAAGGCCAAAAGCAAGCCUGAGUAUCCCAGUGCUCACUGGAAGCUGCAAUCACUGAGUUUCAGGCCUUAAGUCACACGUUACAAGAUUUCCUGCCACACAGAUCACACUCAAAGACACCCUCACAAAAAGGCAGAACUUUUUAUUCUUGACAAGACACAGCAUGAAGACCUCUCUGUGCAUCUACAGAAUGAAGACUCAGAAAGAUGGAGGUUUCCAUACAUCCAAAUAACAAAUGAAAAUAAAUAAAGUGAAUGAAAUACUCUG